rnacentral:tRNA from 1 species
GCAUUGGUGGUUCAGUGGUAGAACUCUCGCCUCCUGCGCAGAAGACCUGGGUCCGAUUCUCGGCCAACGCA